GCUUGCUUUCUUUGCCGGCGACCGGCGCACGGGUGAGUAACACGUAUCCAACCUGCCCUUUACUCGGGGAUGGCCUUUCGAAAGAAAGAUUAAUACCCGAUGGCAUAGUUCUUCCGCAUGGUAGAACUAUUAAAGGAUUUCGGUCAUCGAUGGGGAUGCGUUCCAUUAGGUUGUUGGCGGGGUAACGGGCCCACCAAGCCUUCGAUGGAUAGGGGUUCUGAGAGGAAGGUCCCCCACAUUGGAACUGAGACACGGUCCAAACUCCUACGGGAGGCAGCAUG
rnacentral:rRNA from 1 species